rnacentral:lncRNA from 1 species
AAAAAGAACUGGACCAGUCACUGAAGCAAGCUGUCGAGACAAGGUGGAACACCAGGCUAGCAAUGCUACAGUCUGUCAAUGAUGCUUUAAGAUCUGGGAAGCUGCAUGACAUCCUGCUUCGUAGAAAUGAACUUCGUUACCUCAACAACAUAGACUCUGAACUUCUUGAAAAUCUCAUCCAUCUCUUGAAACCUUUUGAUGAGGCUACAAGGCAUCUUUCAACUGAUCAGACACCUACCCUUCACCUUGUCCUACCAACUAAGGCUACCCUACUGAGAGAUUUGUUGAUCCAAGAUGGAGACAGCAAGAUUGUGGCAGAGCUGAAAGAGAAGUUAGCCCAGGCAGUGGAGAUUAAGUUCAAGGUCCACCUGUACCAUAAGGUAGCCACAGCACUCUCUCCUAGCCUGAGAACUUUCUUAAAGAAAACUCUCAACGGCGAGGAAUAUGAGGAGGUCAUCAACACUCUGACGACAUUCACAGAAACAACAGGGAAAGAGAAGACAGUGACAGGCCUUGUGGAGAAAGAGGGUGAAUAACACUAGCAUCAACAGAGCACUCACAGAGCAUUUCUAAAUCUAAUCACAAAAAGAGGUUUUCAUUCAUUUAGAGGUACACAUAAUCAUUCAUAGGCGCCUGUAUUACAUAAUAGGUAGUGAUAUAUAGGUAUGUUAGAGUAAAAAAGUAACUUUAGCUACAAAAUCUAAAAAGUACUAUAUUGUAAAUUAAGGAAGCUGAAAACGGCCUGCCCUACUUAUUUUUCAUAUUGUUUUUGUCGUUAUGGUGAGAUAAUAUCUUGUUAUAACGAGAAAACGAACUUUGUUUUCUUGUUAUAAGGUGAUCAUCAAGAACGGAAAAUGUAUUGUCCCUCUCUCCCUUUCCUGCACAGAGAUGCGGACUUUGCGGAGACUCACUUGAUUAAAGUCUCUUCGGUUUGUCAUUCACAACAAAAACAGUAGAAAAAAACACUCAACAAAUGUUUUUUUGUCUAUUUUUUAUUUAUUAAUGGAUCUACACUCCUCAAACCUCUUAAGUCCAUCUCAUCCACCCCUCCCUUUAUUUU